UACGUAGGGUGCAAGCGUUGUCCGGAAUUAUUGGGCGUAAAGAGCUCGUAGGCGGUCUGUCGCGUCGGCUGUGAAAACCCGGAGCUCAACUCCGGGCCUGCAGCCGAUACGGGCAGGCUAGAGUUCGGUAGGGGAGACUGGAAUUCCUGGGUGUAGCGGUGAAAUGCGCAGAUAUCAGGAGGAACACCGGUGGCGAAGGCGGCUCUCUGGCCCGCAACUGACGCUGAGGCGCGAAAGCGUGGGGAGCAAACAGG
rnacentral:rRNA from 1 species